rnacentral:rRNA from 1 species
GGAUUAUUUUACCUUUUCCACCUGGCGGGGGGCCUACGGGAGGCAGCAGUAGGGAAUAUUGGGCAAUGGAGGCAACUCUGACCCAGCCAUGCCGCGUGCAGGAAGACGGUCCUCUGGAUUGUAAACUGCUUUUGAAUGGGAAGAAUGUGCGGCUUGCGAGCUGUAAUGACGUACCAUAGAAAGAUGUAU